UUGAACGCUGGCGGCAGGCCUAACACAUGCAAGUCGAACGGUAACAGGAAGCAGCUUGCUGCUUCGCUGACGAGUGGCGGACGGGUGAGUAAUGUCUGGGAAACUGCCUGAUGGAGGGGGAUAACUACUGGAAACGGUAGCUAAUACCGCAUAACGUCGCAAGACCAAAGAGGGGGACCUUCGGGCCUCUUGCCAUCGGAUGUGCCCAGAUGGGAUUAGCUAGUAGGUGGGGUAACGGCUCACCUAGGCGACGAUCCCUAGCUGGUCUGAGAGGAUGACCAGCCACACUGGAACUGAGACACGGUCCAGACUCCUACGGGAGGCAGCAGUGGGGAAUAUUGCACAAUGGGCGCAAGCCUGAUGCAGCCAUGCCGCGUGUAUGAAGAAGGCCUUCGGGUUGUAAAGUACUUUCAGCGGGGAGGAAGGUGUUGAGGUUAAUAACCUCAGCAAUUGACGUUACCCGCAGAAGAAGCACCGGCUAACUCCGUGCCAGCAGCCGCGGUAAUACGGAGGGUGCAAGCGUUAAUCGGAAUUACUGGGCGUAAAGCGCACGCAGGCGGUCUGUCAAGUCGGAUGUGAAAUCCCCGGGCUCAACCUGGGAACUGCAUUCGAAACUGGCAGGCUAGAGUCUUGUAGAGGGGGGUAGAAUUCCAGGUGUAGCGGUGAAAUGCGUAGAGAUCUGGAGGAAUACCGGUGGCGAAGGCGGCCCCCUGGACAAAGACUGACGCUCAGGUGCGAAAGCGUGGGGAGCAAACAGGAUUAGAUACCCUGGUAGUCCACGCCGUAAACGAUGUCGACUUGGAGGUUGUGCCCUUGAGGCGUGGCUUCCGGAGCUAACGCGUUAAGUCGACCGCCUGGGGAGUACGGCCGCAAGGUUAAAACUCAAAUGAAUUGACGGGGGCCCGCACAAGCGGUGGAGCAUGUGGUUUAAUUCGAUGCAACGCGAAGAACCUUACCUACUCUUGACAUCCAGAGAACUUAGCAGAGAUGCUUUGGUGCCUUCGGGAACUCUGAGACAGGUGCUGCAUGGCUGUCGUCAGCUCGUGUUGUGAAAUGUUGGGUUAAGUCCCGCAACGAGCGCAACCCUUAUCCUUUGUUGCCAGCGGUCCGGCCGGGAACUCAAAGGAGACUGCCAGUGAUAAACUGGAGGAAGGUGGGGACGACGUCAAGUCAUCAUGGCCCUUACGAGUAGGGCUACACACGUGCUACAAUGGCGCAUACAAAGAGAAGCGACCUCGCGAGAGCAAGCGGACCUCAUAAAGUGCGUCGUAGUCCGGAUUGGAGUCUGCAACUCGACUCCAUGAAGUCGGAAUCGCUAGUAAUCGUGGAUCAGAAUGCCACGGUGAAUACGUUCCCGGGCCUUGUACUCACCGC
rnacentral:rRNA from 1 species